UACGUAGGGGGCGAGCGUUGUCCGGAGUUACUGGGCGUAAAGGGCACGCAGGCGGUGCGGCGCGUUUCGCGUGACAGCGGAGGGCUUAACUCUCCGAGGAUGCGAAAGACGGCGGCACUUGAGGGCCAGAGAGGGACACGGAAUUCCGGGUGGAGUGGUGAAAUGCGUAGAGAUCCGGAGGAACACCGAAGGCGAAGGCAGUGUCCUGGCUGGUGACUGACGCUGGAGGUGCGAAAGCUAGGGAGCGAACGGG
rnacentral:rRNA from 1 species